rnacentral:rRNA from 1 species
AGCAGCCGCGGUAAUUCCAGCUCCAAUAGCGUAUAUUAAAGUUGUUGCAGUUAAAAAGCUCGUAGUUGAAUUUCGGGGUUCAUACAUUGGUCGGGCUUUUUGGUCUGUACUUAUGUAAUGGAUUCCUACCUUCUGAAUAACCAGCAUGCCAUUAAUUUGGUGCGCCGGGGAAGCAGAACUGUUACCUUGAAAAAAUUAGAGUGCUUAAAGCAGGCUAUCGCCUGAAUACAUUAGCAUGGAAUAAUGAAAUAGGACGGCAUGGUUCUAUUUUGUUGGUUUCUAGGAUCACCGUAAUGAUUAAUAGGGAUAGUUGGGGGCAUUAGUAUUCAAUUGUCAGAGGUGAAAUUCUUGGAUUUAUUGAAGACUAACUUCUGCGAAAGCAUUUGCCAAGGAUGUUUUCAUUAAUCAAGAAC